ensembl:snRNA U6 U6 spliceosomal RNA
GUGCUCACUUUGGCAGCACAUAUACUAAAAUCAGCAUGAUAGAAGAUUAGCAUGGCCUCUGUGCAAGGAUAAUGAGCAAAUUCAUGAAGCAUUUCAUAUUUUU